AUGACCACCACACAUGAGCAUGUUCCUGCAACAUUCAGCAUCUCAUCCUUCAUCUGUGUGCUUUUGCUUUUGUGUCAAAUGUCAAACAGCUGGAGAGGAAACUACACCAGUGUACUGGGAUGUUUCACCAGCAUGCGCCAGACACUGUUCCUGCCUUUCAUGGUAACAUCACCAGAGACAGCCCCACCCACCUCAGGACCUUGAUCAUGAUGAUUAUAAUGAUGACAGCGAGCGGAACUAAGACUGUAAAAAUCCACGACCAGAAUGUUUAGAUGCUUUCUAAUUAUUAAUGAAUACUGACAGCCUCUUUCUGUGUUUUGUCUGUUUUGUUUUUUGUGUUUCUUUUACCUCAUUAUUUACUAACAGCGUUCACCAAACUCACACAGUUUACAUUGUGUAUGUGUUUUCAUCUUUACCAGCCACACUCUAAAAGCAAUUAAGAAAAAAACUGUUAUUUUUCUUUUUUGUAAUCGAUGAUAAUUCAUUGAAUAUACUGCACUGCUUCCUUUAAUUGCGUCACACAUUGCUUUAAGUUUUUCGGUGUCAAGUUAUUUUUUACUGCUGUUUGAAUUCUCUAUAUGUUUGACCCUGUAGACUGUUUAAUGGACUGCUUGUCUUUCUGUUUGUAAUCGCGGACUGUUUUUCACUAAAGAUUUGGAUUUCUGACUUUAACACAGCCUCUGCGUGUCCUCCCUUUGUGUCCUCUUCCUCAUGUUACAUGUGUCACAGAUUCAUUUUAUUAACAGCUUUCCCACAGUGAGUUGCAUCAGGAUUCAUUCACAGCACAUUUGAGAAUGAUUCAGGUUAAUACAGUGAUAUUAAAGGCAGAAUUAUCCUGACAGAGUGGCACUGUAAAUUAUUUUCUUUCAUUAGGUAAAUUUUAAAGUUCAGUAUUUUCAAGCAGGAGUUAUGAAGAAUCAUAUUGGCAUUAGGACUGUAACAAUAUGAGAUUUCCAUGUAUUUACAAAGUCUAAUUUUUCUAAUUAUCAUAGAAAAUAGGAAGCAAAAUAUGCAAUUAAUAAUGCUGUUGGCUAAAUUCAUGCAUAACUUUUAGUGUUUUUUGCAUAUUAAUUAUACUGAAAUACAGAUGGUGACCCUAGAAGCAUACUAAACAGAUGACAAUCUAACAGACAUUAUUGGCCGUCAUGCACAGUGAGUCUGAUCCUAUGCUGUAAGAGUAUGACAAGUAUGUUUUUCGUCAGUUUGGAAGAAAUAAUAUCACAAUGUUAGUGUUUUUUUUUAUUUUCCUUUUCUUUUAUAAUUGAAACUGUGAUCAAAGCUACUCAUGUUCAUAGCAUAGUGAUAUUAGGCCCCUUAUGUCAAACUGAGUGAUUUGUGGCUCCAAUAAGUUAUUCAUGAGCUCAGGAAGUAAAGGAAGUAAUAAAGGAAGUAAUAAAAAUAUGAUAUUCAUAAAAAGUAUGAUAUUCAUAAAAAGUAUGAUUUUCAUAAAAUUAUGAUAUUGCUCAAAAAAUAUGAUAGUUCAUAG
rnacentral:lncRNA from 1 species